UACGUAGGGUGCGAGCGUUGUCCGGAAUUAUUGGGCGUAAAGGGCUCGUAGGCGGUUUGUCGCGUCGGGAGUGAAAUCCACUGGCUUAACUGGUGGCUUGCUUCGAUACGGGCAGACUGGAGGUAUGCAGGGGAGAACGGAAUUCCUGGUGUAGCGGUGAAAUGCGCAGAUAUCAGGAGGAACACCGGUGGCGAAGGCGGUCUCUGGGCAUGUCCUGACGCUGAGGAGCGAAAGUGUGGGGAGCGAACAGG
rnacentral:rRNA from 1 species